rnacentral:rRNA from 1 species
AUACGUAGGGGGCGAGCGUUGUCCGGAAUGAUUGGGCGUAAAGGGCGCGUAGGCGGCCUGUUAAGUCUGGAGUGAAAGUCCUGUUUUCAAGAUGGGAAUUGCUUUGGAUACUGAUGGGCUUGAGUGCAGGAGAGGUUAUCGGAAUUCCCGGUGUAGCGGUGAAAUGCGUAGAGAUCGGGAGGAACACCAGUGGCGAAGGCGGGUAACUGGACUGCAACUGACGCUGAGGCGCGAAAGUGUGGGGAGCAAACAGGAUUAGAUACCCUGGUAGUCCACACUGUAAACGAUGAAUGCUAGGUGUAGGAGGUAUCGACCCCUUCUGUGCCGCAGUAAACACAGUAAGCAUUCCGCCUGGGGAGUACGGUCGCAAGAUUGAAACUCAAAGGAAUUGACGGGG